AAUCAACGCUGGCGGCGUGCCUAACACAUGCAAGUCGAACGAGAAAGUGACUUCGGUCACUGGACAGUGGCGUCCGGGUGAGUAACACGUGGGUAAUCUACCUUCGGGUGGGGAAUAACGUCUCGAAAGAGACGCUAAUACCGCAUAAUGCAGCGGCACCUUAUGGUGAAUAGUUGUUAAAGCGGGGAGUCGCAAGACCUCGCGCCUGAAGAGGAGCCUGCGGCAGAUUAGCUAGUUGGUGAGGUAAUGGCUCACCAAGGCUGCGAUCUGUAGCUGGUCUGAGAGGACGGCCAGCCACACUGGCACUGACACACGGGCCAGACUCCUACGGGAGGCAGCAGU
rnacentral:rRNA from 1 species